GAGUUUGAUCCUGGCUCAGGAUGAACGCUAGCGGCAGGCUUAACACAUGCAAGUCGAGGGGUAACAGGGAUUGCUUGCAAUCCGCUGACGACCGGCGCACGGGUGCGUAACGCGUAUGCAACCUACCUUUUACUGGGAGAUAGUCAAGAGAAAUUUUGAAUAAUACCCCAUACGAUCUGAUUCACUCCUGUGAAACAGAAGAAAAUUACGAUGGUAAAAGAUGGGCAUGCGUCCUAUUAGUUUGUUGGUGAGGUAACGGCUCACCAAGACUACGAUAGGUAGGGGUCCUGAGAGGGAGAUCCCCCACACUGGUACUGAGACACGGACCAGACUCCUACGGGAGGCAGCAGUGAGGAAUAUUGGACAAUGGAGGCAACUCUGAUCCAGCCAUGCCGCGUGCAGGAUGACGGCCCUAUGGGUUGUAAACUGCUUUUAUACAGGAAGAAACGUUAGUACGUGUACUAACCUGACGGUACCGUAAGAAUAAGGAUCGGCUAACUCCGUGCCAGCAGCCGCGGUAAUACGGAGGAUCCGAGCGUUAUCCGGAAUCAUUGGGUUUAAAGGGUCCGCAGGCGGUCUAAUAAGGCAGAGGUGAAAUCCUAUCGCUCAACGAUAGAACUGCCUUUGAUACUGUUAGACUUGAGUUAUUGUGAAGUAGUUAGAAUGUGUAGUGUAGCGGUGAAAUGCAUAGAUAUUACACAGAAUACCGAUUGCGAAGGCAGAUUACUAACAAUACACUGACGCUCAGGGACGAAAGCGUGGGUAGCGAACAGGAUUAGAUACCCUGGUAGUCCACGCCGUAAACGAUGGUCACUAGCUGUUUGAUGCACAUUGGUGUGUUGAGUGGCUAAGCGAAAGUGAUAAGUGACCCACCUGGGGAGUACGCUCGCAAGAGUGAAACUCAAAGGAAUUGACGGGGGCCCGCACAAGCGGUGGAGCAUGUGGUUUAAUUCGAUGAUACGCGAGGAACCUUACCAGGGCUUAAAUGUAAGUUGCAUGGAUCAGAGAUGGUCCUUUCUUCGGACUACUUACAAGGUGCUGCAUGGUUGUCGUCAGCUCGUGCCGUGAGGUGUCAGGUUAAGUCCUAUAACGAGCGCAACCCCUAUCGUUAGUUGCCAGCAAGUGAAGUUGGGUACUCUAGCGAGACUGCCGGUGCAAACCGAGAGGAAGGUGGGGAUGACGUCAAAUCAUCACGGCCCUUACGUCCUGGGCUACACACGUGCUACAAUGGCCGGUACAGAGAGCAGCCACUACGCGAGUAGGAGCGCAUCUUCAAAGCCGGUCUCAGUUCGGAUCGCAGUCUGCAACUCGACUGCGUGAAGCUGGAAUCGCUAGUAAUCGCAUAUCAGCCAUGAUGCGGUGAAUACGUUCCCGGGCCUUGUACUCACCGCCCGUC
rnacentral:rRNA from 1 species